AUUGAACGCUGGCGGCAUGCUUUACACAUGCAAGUCGGACGGCAGCACAGAGGAGCUUGCUUCUUGGGUGGCGAGUGGCGAACGGGUGAGUAACGCAUCGGAACGUACCGAGUAAUGGGGGAUAACUGUCCGAAAGGACAGCUAAUACCGCAUACGCCCUGAGGGGGAAAGCGGGGGAUCUUAGGACCUCGCGUUAUUCGAGCGGCCGAUGUCUGAUUAGCUGGUUGGCGGGGUAAAGGCCCACCAAGGCGACGAUCAGUAGCGGGUCUGAGAGGAUGAUCCGCCACACUGGGACUGAGACACGGCCCAGACUCCUACGGGAGGCAGCAGUGGGGAAUUUUGGACAAUGGGCGCAAGCCUGAUCCAGCCAUGCCGCGUGUCUGAAGAAGGCCUUCGGGUUGUAAAGGACUUUUGUCAGGGAAGAAAAGGGGCAUGUUAAUACCGUGCUCUGAUGACUGUACCUGAAGAAUAAGCACC
rnacentral:rRNA from 1 species